rnacentral:rRNA from 1 species
AGCGAACGCUGGCGGCAGGCCUAACACAUGCAAGUCGAACGAACUUUUCGGAGUUAGUGGCGGACGGGUGAGUAACACGUGGGAACGUGCCUUUUGGUUCGGAAUAACUCAGGGAAACUUGUGCUAAUACCGAAUGUGCCCUUCGGGGGAAAGAUUUAUCGCCAUUAGAGCGGCCCGCGUCUGAUUAGCUAGUUGGUGAGGUGACGGCUCACCAAGGCGACGAUCAGUAGCUGGUCUGAGAGGAUGACCAGCCACACUGGGACUGAGACACGGCCCAGACUCCUACGGGAGGCAGCAGUGGGGAAUCUUGCGCAAUGGGCGAAAGCCUGACGCAGCCAUGCCGCGUGAAUGAUGAAGGUCUUAGGAUUGUAAAAUUCUUUCACCGGGGACGAUAAUGACGGUACCCGGAGAAGAAGCCCCGGCUAACUUCGUG